AAAUCGUCAACCUGGGAGCGAGUAGCGACCCAGACCAGUGACCGGACCGAGCUAGCCCGACAGAUAAAUUAGCUAGUUAGCUUACAUUUGCGAACACAAGCUUGCGGGCUGAAGAUGGUUAACGUUUGCUAGAUAAUUCAUUUAUUGUUUGUUCAGCCAAUUCCUAUUUUGAGCUUCACCUUAGUAUGUCGGAACAAGUACACCGUUAUUAGUUAGCUAGUGCUAACUAGCUAGUGCUAGCUAACGUUAGUUAGCUCAGCAUUUUUAACAUUGCUUGGUUAGCUGUUGCUUGUUAGCUAGCUAAUAAGCUAAUGUUAUUAGCCCGCAUUAUUUUAGUUUACACUUGACUGAGUCAUCGUCUCUAAUUUGACUAGACUAGUUGAUGUUCAGGCAAGGAGCAGCUAAGGACAGUGGGUUGUGUAGAAUCCUAACCACCACGUGCAGCAUUAACAGCGCAGUAGCUAGCCAGCCACUUAUUACAACAGCUCGUUGUGGAAGCACAUUAGGUGAAUUUGGAGGUUUUUCUGAGUUUGAUUAGUUGGUUGAUUGCACCCAGUAAUGUCUUUGUCAGUGCAUUUCAUGGAAAGAAAACAGAGAUACAUAAGGCACCACCAGAAGUGUGAAUAACAGUACAAAGAUUUCCUGGCCUCCCAGGCAGACGUAGAACAUCAGCAUACUGUUCUAAAUUUGCCACAGCCUCGAAACAGAAGUUGACACCAGAAUAAUUGGAGCCGCUAGAGCGCGAUGAGCCAAGUAAAGCCCCCCUGGCCAAACCCUCCCCUAACCAGCACGGGCAUUGCUAAUCAACAAUACCCAUGCUGGUUGUUUCCAUCUGUUUAGUUGAUAAAAGAGAUUCUCUUGAUGAAACCAGGAGGGGUCCUGACGAAACCAGGAGGGGCAGCAGUGCUGAAGGAGUAUGAGUACACAGGGACAAUCUGUGACAAGUUCAAGAAGGCAGAUGGUGAACAUCCUUACAGGACAUAUAACUGAGUCUAAGGGGAUAAUCCCUCAGCGACAUACCAAGGAGAAGUACGCCCUGGGGAUUUCCACCUUGUUUCCUGCACUUUAAGAUCUGCUCUCCAGGAAAGGAUAUAACCUGAGCCCUAGGACCAUACGUCAGGACUACCGGGCAUGACGACUCCCUGCUGCCCCCAGUCCGCCUGGCCUUGCUGCUAUUCCAGUUUCAACGGUUCUGCCUGCGGUUACGGAACCCCUACCUGUCCCAGACCUGCUGUUUUCAACUCUUAAUGAUCGGCUAUGAAAAGCCAACAGAUUUAUUCCUGAUUAUUAUUUGACCAUGCUUGUCAUUUAUGAACAUUUUGAAAAUCUUGGCUCUCUCUAAUUUUCUCCUUCUCUCUUUCUUUCUCUCGGAGGACCUGAGCCCUGGGACCAUACGUCGGGACUGCCGGGCGUGGUGGCUCCUUGCUGUCCCCAGUCCGCCUGGCCUUGCUGCUGUUCUGCCUGCGGUUAUGGAACCGCCACCUGUCCCAGACCUGUUGUUUUUCAACUCUUAAUGAUCGGCUAUGAAAAGCCAACUGAAUAUUAUUCAUGAUUAUUAUUUGACCAUGCUUGUCACUUAUGAACAUUUUUGAACAUCUUGGCAAAGUUCUGUUAUAAUCUCCACCCGGCACAGCCAGAAGAGGACUGGCCACCCCUCAUAGCCUGGUUCCUCUCUAGGUUUCUUCCUAGGUUUUGGCCUUUCUAGGGAGUUUUUCCUAGCCACCGUGCUUCUACACCUGCAUUCUAGCUGUUUGGGGUUUUAGGCUGGGUCUCUGUACAGCACUUCGAGACAUUAGCUGAUGUACAAAGGGCUAUAUAAAAUAAACUUGAUUGAUUGAUUGAUUGAA